rnacentral:RNase_P_RNA from 1 species
AGGCCAAAUAGGGAAGCCAUGACGCUGCUCGCGUCGCUUCCGGGUAGGCUGCUAGAGCCCGUCGGUAACGGCGGGCCCAGAGGAAUGACUGCCCACGACAGAACCCGGCUUAUCGGCGGACUUCCACU